rnacentral:rRNA from 1 species
CCUACGGGAGGCAGCAGUAGGGAAUAUUGGUCAAUGGGCGAAAGCCUGAACCAGCAACGCCGCGUGCGCGAUGAAGGCCUUCGGGUCGUAAAGCGCUUUUGGGAGGGAUGAAAAUGACAGUACCUCCCGAAUAAGGAUCGGCUAACUACGUGCCAGCAGCCGCGGUAAGACGUAGGAUCCAAGCGUUAUCCGGAAUUACUGGGCGUAAAGGGCGUGUAGGAGGUUGGGCAAGUCGGCCAUGAAAGCUCCCGGCUCAACUGGGAGAGGCUGGUCGAUACUGCCUGGCUAGAGGGCAAGAGAGGGAGGUGGAAUUCCCGGUGUAGUGGUGAAAUGCGUAGAUAUCGGGAGGAACACCAGUGGCGAAGGCGGCCUCCUGGCUUGUACCUGACUCUGAAACGCGAAAGCAUGGGUAGCAAACAGGAUUAGAAACCCUGGUAGUCCAUGCCAUAAACGAUGUCAACUGGGUGUCGGCGAAGUAAAUUUGUCGGUGCCGAAGCUAACGCGUUAAGUUGACCGCCUGAGACGUACGAUCGCAGAUUAAACUAACAAAGGAAGUUAGACGGCGUGAGACGUGCCGACGGACGACGACGAGGGAGUAGG